AGUGAACGCUGGCGGUAGGCCUAACGCAUGCAAGUCGAACGGCAGCACAGUAAGAGCUUGCUCUUACGGGUGGCGAGUGGCGGACGGGUGAGGAAUACAUCGGAAUCUACUUUUUCGUGGGGGAUAACGUAGGGAAACUUACGCUAAUACCGCAUACGACCUACGGGUGAAAGCAGGGGAUCUUCGGACCUUGCGCGAUUGAAUGAGCCGAUGUCGGAUUAGCUAGUUGGCGGGGUAAAGGCCCACCAAGGCGACGAUCCGUAGCUGGUCUGAGAGGAUGAUCAGCCACACUGGAACUGAGACACGGUCGAGACUCCUACGGGAGGCAGCAGUGGGGAAUAUUGGACAAAGGGCGCAAGCCUGAUCCAGCCAUACCGCGUGGGUGAAGAAGGCCUUCGGGUUGUAAAGCCCUUUUGUUGGGAAAGAAAAGCAGCAGGUUAAUACCCCGCUGUUCUGACGGUACCCAAAGAAUAAGCACCGGCUAACUUCGUG
rnacentral:rRNA from 1 species